AGAGGAGGCAGUAAAAACACUGCAGUUUCCGCCUACAGCUUCAUCCACCAGAAACUGCUCAGCCAUAUGUGUUGCUCUUAGAUGCUGCACAAACACAAGCUGCAGAGCCCGUCGCUCUCUGAGCCCAUGAGUCACAUUUCAGUCCUGACCUAUGAGUGCCAGGAGUACGGCUUCAGGAAAGGGGGACUUCCCUCGAGAGCAGAAAGCAAGCGCAGGGGUGGUGCAGAGAUUUUAGUAGGACAGGAAGCGCAAUGUGUGGUAGAAUUGUGAGGAUGGCUUGCUCCACACUUGUCUCUGUUGGUAUCAGUGUGCAUUUUCUGCAGGAUCUCAGAGGGGACAAACCCAGGGGAGGCUGAAAACACAAAGGAGAGUAGACUAAUUUACGUCCUCAUGCCAAACAGCUGCCACGAAGGACUCAUCAUCACACUCCAGUCAUGGCUGUGACACACACAUGAACUCCUGGAGACUGCUGAGAUUUUUUCUGAACUGAUGUUUAGCUCACUGAAGGUUUGGGAAUCAGACGCCUGUAAAUAUUGAAUUCAAAGGUUGGAGAAAUGUUAACAUGUUGUGUUGUGCACAUGUUGUUGUUGUUGUCGAUGUUUUGCACAUGUUCCAAGAUGUAGUGAAUAAACAUAUCCUACUCAUGCUCACCCUCUCAACACUCGAAAAACCAUAUCUACCAUUGCUGUGAACUUUUAAAAUAAAAACAAUAAAGAUAUCUAUCUAUCUAUCUAUCUAUCUAUCUAUCUAUCUAUCUAUCUAUCUAUCUAUCUAUCUAUCUAUCUAUCUAUCUAUCUAUCUAUCUAAAACAUUUCUUUGUUGAUAGUAACAGGAGCUUAAACCGGAGAAAACAUUGAAUUGUAAUAAGGUGGAGACUCUUAUUUUCCUUUUUAAAUUGAAAGGAUAUUGAUCAUUUAUUAGGAGAGUUACUGCAGGUGCAUCUGAAGAUUACAUGGUUUUAGGUCGGAGUCUGAGGCCUCAUCUUGGCAAGUAUUUUUUUAAAGCAGAGGCUCCUGUGUUUUAGCUUUUAGAACUCAAGCAAACAAAGUUUUUGGUCGAGGAGAAUGGACGUUUUUGUGGCUUUUAAUGCUACAGAUUUUUAUGUGUGUGUUCAUGUGGACAGCAAAAGUGAAAUUUUUAAUGUUGACUUCAUAACCACAAUGCAGACAUGGUCACUGCUGUGCACAUGCCCCAAGUCGGAGAGCUUUUAGUAUACAUCUGCUCGAUAUACUCAGUUGAAUGGCAUGGUCACAGGGAAAAUUGGCUUUUCUUUGUGUUUGUAACCGUCUAAAUAUGCACAUGUGAAAGUGACUUCUUUAAGGAACCAGUUCAGAAAACCUGGGGGAUGCUAUGGAGCCAGUUUUUCUAAGUUCUGCACAAGAUCGUCAAAAGUUUCUCACCAGGCCUGGGGUCUCAUUCAUAAACAAUGUGUACACACAGAACAAGGCCUGAAAAUGGUGUAUAACACUUUCCACGAAAGUUUUGUGAUCCAUAAAAACCAAACCUGAUGGGGAAAUGUGUGUGCAGGUAAGCCAACUGUGACACAUGCAGGACGGGGGAAAGUGGUGACACAGGUGGAGAAAGGGUGUACUGAGGUCAGACAAUAUAUUAUAUACUUAUUAUUUUACAUUUAAUGGCAUCAAAUGUCAACACUAUAAACCCACAUCAUCAUAAUCACUAUAAUUGCAGAGGUGACUAUAGUGAGACUUUUUUAAGAGAUAAAGCAAAAAAAAAAAAACUUCACCUGCGUGUUUAUUCUGCUCAUGAGAAAAACUGUGGCAGUUAAUUGGGAAUUAAUCUGUGAGUUUAUGUUGCAGGUUGCACGCUUGUGGAGGUGUGUAUGAAUGAUGAGAGCUGUGUUUUCUAAUGAAAUGGAGAUCCAGCUGUCGCACUGUCACAAACUGCCAUGAUAACCUCUAAUCUUCUGGCUCAUUAGUGGUCAUUUCCUUUGGAGAAAUGUGGACAUGUUAAAAGGUAUGAGGCUUAAUCAUGUCUACAUAUUUCCAGGUAUUACUGGUGUGAUUUGUAAGGGAAGAGUGGAUAAAAGUGUAGAUGUGCAUGUUUUUAUAAAUGAAUUAUUUCUGGGUAUUUUGGUGCACACAGUUUUAGACUCUACACACUUCUUUAUGAAUAAGUCCCCUGAUGCUGAUGCCUAGUUAACCAUCUUCAUUCACAUCUUGAACACUCAGAUUUUUCAGUUGUUUGUCUUCAGCCUGAAACCGCCAGGAUCAAAAGUGAAGCUCAGGAUGAGUUAUGGCGAUACAUUCUUGACAAUUAUCCUGCUAACACCCUCUGAAUGUCAAGUGACUCUCAAGUCCUGAACCUAAAGGUCUUCAUUAAAAGCUAAAGUCUGAUGGUUUUGACAAGCUCUUCGCCUGAGUCUAAACAUCUUCCUCGUGCCUGCUCUGUUCUGGUCCUUUACCCAGACUGCCCCUCCCCUCUAAACAGCCCCCUCACCCUUUUCUCCUCUCUAGUUAACAACUAAAAAUCUGCAGGUUCCCUUUUCUAACCUGUCCGCUGUGGAGAGGGUUGGACAGACAGGUGAGAUGAGACGAGGAGGAGGGUAAAGCAGUGACAGAGAGUGGUAAAUGAGUAGGAGCGGCAGCAGGUCAAAGUAAGAACAACUGAAAGUAAGAGAUGAUGGAAAAUGCUGGAGGGGAGGGGGGGACUGUGCAUGUGCUUGGUGUCAUCUGACUUUCAGGCUGGUUUGCUGAUCUCUUCUGAUGUACAGUACAUGACAUGGGCCUAGAAGCCCAGCCCCUCAUCAAGGCAACAGCAGCCACAGUCCCUCUGCCCCUCCCCCCUUCCCUUGACACAGUGAGGGCCCAUGGGAAGGAGGCAACAAACCAGCAGCUGUGUUCACCUCCUUUCCCUCCUCCCCUCCAGUCAGGUGGAAUGAGGGGAUUGGAGAGGACUGGAAGUGGAACAGAAGGGUAUCUGAGUAAGCCGGAGAUAUUUGCAUGCCUCCCAACGCUUCAGAGACUCCAAUUAGCAUCGGAGGCCCCGCUGCUGGCUGCAGGACCAAACCAUUGCAGGGCUAGUGGUGGCAUUCCUGGGCCUGUGGAAGAUUAACACACCCCUCCUCCAGACGGGGAUGUGCCAGGGCUGUGACCCAAUCAUGACCCUGUGCUCAAUUUCCUCUAAGUCAGUUUUGCUAAGUAACAUCCAGGUGAAAAUGAGAGCCUCUGCUCUGAUAAGUCUGUAGAUAACUUAUAAAGGAAGGCCAUCCGAGCAAACUGAAGAAGUUUAGGAGUCUAUUAAAGACAUUUGUUCUACCUGAUUUAUAACUUUGUACAAAUUCAAACUCAGCGUUUAUUACAUCUUCGUUCUGUCCCAAUAAGAGCCUUGUGUAAAUUUCCAAAAUAAAAGCAAAGUAAUAUCUACUGAACAGAGACACGAUUAUUUCAACCAUCAAAAUCACUUAAAGUCCCACUCCAAUGAAUAUCUUGUUGUUCUUGUUGUCUACAUGUUUGUAUGGCAUUUUUUUGAUGCUACAGGACGUAUUAUAAGAAAAAUAAAUAUUUCUGCAUUCAAAUCACUGUGAAUCUCUCACAGACCCAAACGGCAGGUUCAGAUACAGUGAGAUUUCCAAUGUCCGCACUAUGCAGGCCAGACUUGGAGACAUAGAGAGGACGAUCGUGGAACAAGCAUGUAUUAGCGGAUUGCAAAGCUUGUAAGAAAGCUAAUUAUGAUAUUAACUUUAUAUAAUUCAUAAUCACAAUUUAAAGACCGCUGAUAACAUUUUAAAUUGUAAAAAAAAAUCUGGAGUGAGACUUUAAAUUUGAGACUAAAGAUCCUUUCACACGGGGACCAUUUUUUUUCGUGCGGUUAUUUCGGAUGUCAAUAUUUUUUUCGGACCCGUAUCCUGUCAAAAGCUAUCACAUCAGCAACGUUUUCCCGUUCUGUGAUAUUGCAGCUUUUUUUUUUUUUUCGGAUCAUGGGAGAUUUUUCUAAAAUUUCACAUACUGUGUGUCCACUUCUGACCAAUCAGAUUGCGUGUUGUUACGACGUCUGAUUCACCGGUAUAUCCAAUAUGGCUGACCGGCUGAUUGUUUACGUGUCGGAGAACAGAGUG